rnacentral:rRNA from 1 species
AUUGAACGCUGGCGGCAGGCCUAACACAUGCAAGUCGAGCGAGCGGCGGGCGGGUGAGUAAUGGAUGGGGAUCUGCCCGAGAGAGGGGGAUAACUACCGGAAACGAUGGCUAAUACCGCCUACUAUAGGCUGAACCCAUAUGGGAUUAGCUAGUAGGUGGGGGAAAUGCUCACCUAGGCGACGAACUCGAGCGGGUCUGAGAGGAUGAGCAGCCACACUGGAACUGAGAAACGGUCCAGACGCCUACGGGAGGCAGAAGUGGGGAAUAUUGAACAAUGGGCGCAAGCCUGAUGCAGCCAUGCCGCGUGUAUGAAGAAGGUCUUCGGGUUGUAAAGUACUUUCAGCGGGGAGGCGUUACCCGCAGAAGAAGCACCGGCUAACUCCGUGCCAGCAGCCGCGGUAAUAC